rnacentral:misc_RNA from 1 species
GGAAACAUGUUUAAAUAAAUAAAUAAUGUUUCAUUUUGGUCAUUACUGGAUAAACAAUGACUUCAGACAAAAUGACCAUAUAAAAGAAAACCACUGUUCUGGCAAUGACAAGCUCUGAUUGGCUUGGCGAGGUCUGAGGUUUGUCUUAAACUGAGUGUAGAGGAAACCUUUUAAGUAGCUUAUUCAAAGGAAUGCAAAGGGUAAAGGUGAAGGACGCUAACACAAAGUGAACUGAUGAAUAUGGCCAACAAGGAGACACUCAAGGAGACAGAAUAUCAAAUAUAAGCAUUCCUUUAAAUAUACACGAUACUUCAGCAAGGAAGGAUACCAAUUUAUUUAAAGAAUGGAAACCUACAUGUACAAGAGAGAGAUAAAUAUCAUAUCUACUUUAUUAGUGAUUCUCAAUGUUGCACCUUAUACAAAAGGGUCCAGAUAUGGAGCUGAGGAUGGAACAAAAUACAUUAUACCCUUAGUGCUAUCUCUUACUAUCCUAGUGAUAGUUACAAUAAUUGUGUGCUGCCUAACCAGCAAGAAACAAUACUUUAAGAAAAUUGUAGAAUGGUGUUCUACAAUUGGUUCAAAAAAUGGUACAAUUACAAGGAAAACACAUUCAAAAACAAUUCAAAAUGCAACCUCCAUCCAGAUGAUAGUUUUGCAACAGAAACCAACAGAUAUGAUAGAAAUGGAAAGUGGAGGGGACAUUCCAGU